rnacentral:lncRNA from 1 species
GCACUUCUUGAGAGAGUACGUUUGCAAUUUUUAAUAAUCCCCUUCUUUAGAAUCAAACCCUAACUUUUGGGGAUUUUUAUCUUUGAAAUUGGGAUUUUGAAGGGACUCCAUGGAUGAAUUCUAUCCAUUUAUGAAUAACUACCAUACCUUAGCAACAAAUGCCUAUGAUGUGAAAACCCUAGCUUCUUCAACCCUAGCUCUAACUCUCUUCUUCUUCUUCUUUGAGUUUUCUAGAGAGAGAAUUUUUGGUGAGGAUGAAGUUUGGGAAUUGAUUUGGGUUUUAGAAAUAAUGAGAUAAAUGACUUAAUUUAGUGGUCUAAAAUACUUAUAUAGGUGGUCUAAAUUAGGCUAAAACUACAUCACUUAAUAUUAAUUAAAAUCGGAAAACCCCA